AGAGUUUGAUCCUGGCUCAGGACGAACGCUGGCGGCGUGCCUAAUACAUGCAAGUCGAGCGGACUUUAAAAGCUUGCUUUUAAAGUUAGCGGCGGACGGGUGAGUAACACGUGGGCAACCUGCCUGUAAGACUGGGAUAACUUCGGGAAACCGGAGCUAAUACCGGAUAAUCCUUUUCCUCUCAUGAGGAAAAGCUGAAAGACGGUUUACGCUGUCACUUACAGAUGGGCCCGCGGCGCAUUAGCUAGUUGGUGAGGUAACGGCUCACCAAGGCGACGAUGCGUAGCCGACCUGAGAGGGUGAUCGGCCACACUGGGACUGAGACACGGCCCAGACUCCUACGGGAGGCAGCAGUAGGGAAUCUUCCGCAAUGGACGAAAGUCUGACGGAGCAACGCCGCGUGAGUGAUGAAGGUUUUCGGAUCGUAAAACUCUGUUGUUAGGGAAGAACAAGUACAAGAGUAACUGCAUUGU
rnacentral:rRNA from 1 species